UAAAGUGUACUGUUAGCUCGCCUGCUAAUGUUAUGUGCAUGAUCUGUGUUGUAAUAUUAUCUCAAAAAGAAAUGUCCAUUGCUAGUUAUAGCCUAAUGUUAGCUAGCUAAUUAAUAUUAAACGUAGCUGGUUAGCUUUAGCUAGCUUUGACAAUCGGUUUGUAUUGCUAGUACUCUAUGGGUUAAAGUGGUUAAUGUCCACACACAAUGUGUUAUGGUUGUGACUGGGGUUAGGGGUUACGGUUGUGACCAGGGUUAGGGGUUAUGGUUGUGACUGGGGUUAGGGGUUACGGUUGUGACCAGGGUUAGGGGUUAUGGUUGUGACCGGGGUUAGGGGUUACGGUUGUGACCGGGGUUAGGGGUUACGGUUGUGACCAGGGUUAGGGGUUACGGUUGUGACCAGGGUUAGGGGUUAUGGUUGUGACCAGGGUUAGGGGUUAUGGUUGUGACCAGGGUUAGGGGUUACGGUUGUGACCAGGGUUAGGGGUUACGGUUGUGACCAGGGUUAGGGGUUAUGGUUGUGACCAGGGUUAGGGGUUAUGGUUGUGACCAGGGUUAGAGUCAGGGGCAGGGUUAGGUGAUAUGGUUGUGACUGGGGUUAGGGGUUACGGUUGUGACCAGGGUUAGGGGUUAUGGUUGUGACCAGGGUUAGGGGUUAUGGUUGUGACCAGGGUUAGGUGUUAUGGUUGUGACCAGGGUUAGAGUCAGGGGCCAGGGUUAGGUGUUAUGGUUGUGACCAGGGUUAGGUGUUAUGCUUGUGACCAGGGUUAGAGACAGGGGCAGGGUUAGGUGUUAUGGUUGUGACCAGGGUUAGAGUCAGGGGCAGGGUUAGGUGUUAUGGUUGUGACCAGGGUUAGGGGUUAUGGUUGUGACCAGGGUUAGGGGUUAUGGUUGUGACCAGGGUUAGGUGUUAUGGUUGUGACCAGGGUUAGAGUCAGGGGCAGGGUUAGGUGUUAUGCUUGUGACCAGGGUUAGAGACAGGGGCAGGGUUAGGUGUUAUGGUUGUGACCAGGGUUAGAGUCAGGGGCAGGGUUAGGGGUUAUGGUUGUGACCAGGGUUAGGGGUUAUGGUUGUGACCAGGGUUAGGUGUUAUGGUUGUGACCAGGGUUAGAGUCAGGGGCAGGGUUAGGUGUUAUGCUUGUGACCAGGGUUAGAGACAGGGGCAGGGUUAGGUGUUAUGGUUGUGACCAGGGUUAGAGUCAGGGGCAGGGUUAGGGGUUAUGGUUGUGACCAGGGUUAGGUGUUAUGGUUGUGACCAGGGUUAGAGUCAGGGGCAGGGUUAGGUGUUAUGGUUGUGACCAGGGUUAGGUGUUAUGCUUGUGACCAGGGUUAGAGACAGGGGCAGGGUUAGGUGUUAUGGUUGUGACCAGGGUUAGAGUCAGGGGCAGGGUUAGGUGUUAUGGUUGUGACCAGGGUUAGGGGUUAUGGUUGUGACCAGGGUUAGGUGUUAUGGUUGUGACCAGGGUUAGGUGUUAUGGUUGUGACCAGGGUUAGAGUCAGGGGCAGGGUUAGGUGUUAUGGUUGUGACCAGGGUUAGGUGUUAUGCUUGUGACCAGGGUUAGAGACAGGGGCAGGGUUAGGUGUUAUGGUUGUGACCAGGGUUAGAGUCAGGGGCAGGGUGUUAGAUACUGUCGUGAGUGAAAAGCCCAGGAAGACUGUUGUUUCUGAGAUCCUGGAUCUGGCGUGCCUGGCAUGUAUGUAUGUAUGUAUGUACGUAUGUACGUAUGUAUGUAUGUAUGUAUGUAUGUAUGCAUGUAUGUAUGUAUGUAUGUGCAACAUGUAAAGUGUUCGUCUCGUGUUUCGUGAGCUGAAAUAAAUAAAAAAUCC
rnacentral:lncRNA from 1 species